rnacentral:rRNA from 1 species
ACAGUAGCACAGAGAAGCUUGCUCUCGGGUGACGAGUGGGCGGACGGGUUGAGUAAUGUCUGGGAAACUGCCCGAUGGAGGGGGAUAACUACUGGAAACGGUAGCUAAUACCGCAUAACGUCGCAAGACCAAAGAGGGGGACCUUCGGGCCUCUUGCCAUCGGAUGUGCCCAGAUGGGAUUAGCUUGUAGGUGAGGUAACGGCUCACCUAGGCGACGAUCCCUAGCUGGUCUGAGAGGAUGACCAGCCACACUGGAACUGAGACACGGUCCAGACUCCUACGGGAGGCAGCAGUGGGGAAUAUUGCACAAUGGGCGCAAGCCUGAUGCAGCCAUGCCGCGUGUAUGAAGAAGGCCUUCGGGUUGUAAAGUACUUUCAGCGGGGAGGAAGGGAGUGAGGUUAAUAACCUUAUUCAUUGACGUUACCCGCAGAAGAAGCACCGGCUAACUCCGUGCCAGCAGCCGCGGUAAUACGGAGGGUGCAAGCGUUAAUCGGAAUUACUGGGCGUAAAGCGCACGCAGGCGGUCUGUCAAGUCGGAUGUGAAAUUCCCGGGCUCAACCUG